GGAUUGUAGUCUGCAACUCGACUACAUGAAGCUGGAAUCGCUAGUAAUCGCGGAUCAGAAUGCCGCGGUGAAUACGUUCCCGGGUCUUGUACACACCGCCCGUCACACCAUGGGAGUCGGGAAUGCCCGAAGCCAGUGACCCAAGCGAGAGCAGGGAGCUGUCGAAGGCAGGCCGGAUAACUGGGGUGAAGUCGUAACAAGGUACC
rnacentral:rRNA from 1 species